rnacentral:rRNA from 1 species
UACGAAGGGGGCUAGCGUUGCUCGGAAUCACUGGGCGUAAAGCGCACGUAGGCGGACUCUUAAGUCGGUGGUGAAAUCCUGGAGCUCAACUCCAGAACUGCCUUCGAUACUGGGAGUCUCGAGUCCGGGAGAGGUGAGUGGAACUGCGAGUGUAGAGGUGAAAUGUGUAGAUAUAGGGAAGAACACCAAACGGCGAAGGCAGUUAACUAUUCGGCUACUGACAUUGAGGCAUGAAAGCGUGGGGAGCAAAACGG